ACAUGCCUACAACAUAGUGUUAAUGCACCGGGUCCCAUUAGAACUUUGCAGUUAAGCACACUCUGGUUAGAGUAGUACUGGGAUGGUUGAUCACCUGAGAAGUCCUAGUGUUUACAUGCC
rfam:Picea glauca, whole genome shotgun sequence.